rnacentral:rRNA from 1 species
GACGAACGCUGGCGGCGUGCUUAACACAUGCAAGUCGAACGGAAAGGCCUCUUUCGGGGGGUACUCGAGUGGCGAACGGGUGAGUAACACGUGAGUAACCUGCCCUUGACUUUGGGAUAACUUCAGGAAACUGGGGCUAAUACCGGAUAGGAGCUCCUGCUGCAUGGUGGGGGUUGGAAAGUUUCGGCGGUUGGGGAUGGACUCGCGGCUUAUCAGCUUGUUGGUGGGGUAGUGGCUUACCAAGGCUUUGACGGGUAGCCGGCCUGAGAGGGUGACCGGCCACAUUGGGACUGAGAUACGGCCCAGACUCCUACGGGAGGCAGCAGUGGGGAAUAUUGCACAAUGGGUGGAAGCCUGAUGCAGCAACGCCGUGUGCGGGAUGACGGCCUUCGGGUUGUAAACCGCUUUCGCUCAUGACGAAGCUUUGUGUGACGGUAGUGGGUAAAGAAGCACCGGCUAACUAUGU